CCCCUUUUAACUUUGUAUCUCUAAAUCAGACUCUCAAACUGAAAAUAACCUAAAUAACCUUCAUCAAGUGUCAAAAGUCUACAAUGCCCUUCUUUUAAUUGUAAUUAGAUGAAACAAUUAAUAAAUUGCAACCACGAAAAAUAAACGACGACGAAGGACUCUUGAAGUCAUCUUCGACGACGAGCUCCGGCGACAAAGGAAACAAUGAUUCUCAUUGUCGACGAAGCAAGCUGUGUGAAUCUGUAUGUUUCAAUAGUUUUACGAAGAAAAUCUUAAUUUUAUUUAGGGUUUUCAAAUUGAGAUUUGAAUUUUUGUGUUCUUCUUCUUCCGAUGAUACGUUUGAACUUGUUUUGUUGUUUGAAUAGAACAUGGAUAGCAGAAUCGGAGUUACAAAUAAUGAAUUUCAGGAAACUUCGUUUACAUAUAACUUUGGCUUAAAGAGGAAGAUGAUCUCGUGACUUUACUUUUUGGUAAGCAAUUUUUGAAUCUUUGAUAUUCCUAUUUAUUCUUUGAUAAAAGAACCCUGUGUAAAGAGAGCUUUGAUUGUUGGAGUUGGUCUCUUUGUUGUGUUUCCCUUUUUCACCUGAAUGGUAAUGUAACAGUGUCAAAGUGCGAUUGCAGGUCUCUGAUGCUUUGUAGAACUCAAUUUUGAAACCGCCUCCUUCAUACGUACAGCCAGCCUUCUCUAGAAGACCGUAAGAUAUUAUGUUCCUGCUAAUAUUCGGCAUGUGUCUCACAUCAGUUAAAAUCACUUCAACACCAUCCACAUUAGUAACUCGAAUCUUUCCAAUUCCUUUAACUUCGCUCUGUGUGUUGUUCGCCAUAAAAACUUUCCACCUUCUAGUUCCUUGAAGUCAAAGAGAACAUUCCUUUGAGGAGUGAUAUGAAACGAGCAGCCAUAGUCUAGAACCCACUCCUACUUAGUGUCCUGAACACUUACAGUCAGUACAAGCGGCUGCUUUGGUUAAGAAGCUAUAUUCAUUAAGCUUGAAGACUCAUUCUUCCUUCCCUGAUUAUUCCAAUUCUGUGGGCAUUCUCUCUUCCAAUGACCAUCCUUUCCGCAAAUAAAACACCCUGUUUUGUUGGUAUUUCGGUUUGAUCUUGGUCUAGACUUUGAUCUUCCAUCCCGUGACUUUGAUCUGCUUUUUCCAUACUUUCCAUUUCCUUUAUUUCCCUUCUCCUUCUGUCUACGUUGAGAUUCCACAUACAAGCCUUUUAAGUUCGAUCUAGACUUUCCAAAGAGACCCCUUUGUUUUGUGUUGUUCAAAAUCUUUAAAAUUCAAAUUGUAGUGGGAUUCUAAGAUUUUCAGUUAUAAUAUUACUAGAUACUAGUUGGUAUAAAUAAAUUACACAUUUAUAUUUUAUCGCAUAAAAACAUGAAAACACCUAUGUAUAUAUAAAAUUAUAUACCAAAAUAUAUAGAGAUUUAUCUCAUUUUUUUUAAACAUGUAUAAUGUAAAAUAUUGUUUUUGGAUAACACAAUGUAAACUAGUUUUAUAAAAUGAUAAUUAUCAAAUCAAUAAAAUUCAUUCUUAAUUUGUGGUUAUGUAUAUAUUAAAAACCGAAUUAUUCAUUAUAUUUAAUAAAGACCUUAUAGCACAAUAUAAAUUAUUUUUUGAUAAUGAUAAUUAUCAAAUUAAUGAAAUUCAUUUUUAAUUUGUGGUUAAUCAUAUAUUAACAAAUCAAAUUAUUCAUUAAGAGUAAUAAAAAUUUUAGCCGCUCUAACUUUUAAUGUUAGAACUAAUAAUCAUUUUGCAAAUAAUAAUAUAGAAUAAAAUUAUUAAAUAGAAGGUUUAAUUAUUAUAAAUAGCUAUAAACUUGUAUCAUGGUAAAAUAAAAAUUGUCUUCUUAUUUGAUUGCAGGUUAUCCAAGUAGGGAAGGGCUUGGAUUUGAUCCAUCCUAACACAAACUUAAUCUGCUAAUUCUGUAAUAAUAAUAAUACAACAAGAUUUGUUCUACUAAUCUUUUUACAGAGUGAAAUUUUUUAUUCUUUUGAAUCAAACAAAAGACACCAGAAGAAUUAGCCUUAUCUCCAAAGACUCUAAUUACUCAGUUCCGUUCGUUCACCAUUUGUUUUGACAAUAUACAGAAGUAAGAUCAUCUCUCUGGCUCGAUUUUCAUCUGAACCGUAGAUUCAGAACCUGACACAUACAACCAAAUAACAAUGUAAUUAGAUAUCACACAACAAAACUUCACACUGUUUAUAUUCUGCAAUGUAAAUUUCUGUUUAUAUUUUUGCUUACAGUUGAUGCUCUGUUGCGGACAAUCACUGAAACCCAUAUGAACAAUACUCUGCAGAUCGUUUUCCCAGAAAGCUGGCGCCUAAGAAAACACACAAAAGUAAGCUUUUCAGAGGAAGCAAUACAGUGAGACUGUAUACAAUAUAAGCGGACAUUAAAGUACCUCAGCUUGAACAAAUCCUUCACUAAGAAUGUUCUUGCCAACAGCUAAAUACUCUGAAGGAAAUCUUGACUCUGAACAAGAUAAUGAUUCUCCCAGCUGCAACAUCUAAGACAUACAUAAUCUACUCGUCAGAUACAAUUACAGAACAUUCUCCCAGUCUUUGUUAUGAAUGAAUCAACAUAAAGCAGAAGAAUACCUCUGCAGAUAACAUAGCAUUAGCAGCAUUGAACUCCGUUCUUGGAUUUAUAGUUGCUAACUUCAUAGACAAGAACUGGAGAAGUAAACAAGAGAUUCAGAUUCAGUUAUAAUAAACACACAGCUCCAUGUUUAAGAAACAUAUAAAGCGACAGUAUACCUGGACUUGUCUUUGCAAUGACUGCACAUAAUUGAUAAUCUCAUCAAGCAUGACAGCUUUUCCAGUAAUCCGGUUGCAACCAGGGACCAAAUCUUGAAGCAACUUCAUUCUCGCACUNNNNNNNNNNNNNNNNNNNNNNNNNNNNNNNNNNNNNNNNNNNNNNNNNNNNNNNNNNNNNNNNNNNNNNNNNNNNNNNNNNNNNNNNNNNNNNNNNNNNNNNNNNNNNNNNNNNNNNNNNNNNNNNNNNGAAGCCCUAGAAAAUCGGCGACCGACUCGAACAUGACACCACACGUUGAACAGAUAGCAUGGUAGGGACACGCGCCCACUAACGAAGCCGCCACCUAACUUCAGCCAGAAAGUCAUCGACGGAGCUCCAACCGGCUGUUCCACCGGAAACACACCGGAAACAGGAACCCGAAGUUAGAGAUCUAUCGAAGACUAUGGAUAAUUGCUUUCCACCACCGACAUGGUCUACGCCGGAGGAUCAAAGAGAUACACCGGAAGCCAAGAGGCUGAGGAAGCCCGCUAAAGACAGUAGAACACAGUCGAUAACCAUACAACUUGGCUCUUCGCUUUAUAGACGAUUCAUUUGCAUGCGUUCCAAAACAGGAAACAGAGAUGAAUCGAAGAAGCUUGAAGGAAAGAUCAGACGAAAGCCAGAAUAAACCAGAGAGAAGCCGCACGACGCCACCGGAGAAGACACCGUCAUCAACGUCGCCGGAACCAGAAGCCAAUGAAUCAUUUAGAAGAAAGUGAUUCAUUGGAGCCAAAAGCCGACGGUUUCGUCAGAGAAGAACGACCACCGUCGAACCCAAAAGCCGGCCAGUCGAUGUUGAAGAAACCAUCGCUGCCGGAACCGACUCCUAUAGGAGCCAACACGCCGGAAACCACCGGCGAUCUAUAUCCUCUCUCUCUGAAAGAUUUUUUAGAGAGAAGAGAGAGAGUUUUUUAUGAUUGUGUUUUUUCCAAUGUGUGAUUUUCAUUCACUCCUCGUUAGCCUUUUAUGAAAAUAUUGUAAUACUGUGAAAUUAUAUCUAAAACUCGUGACACCGGUUUAUAGGUUAGAUGUAUUUUAUCUUAUCCAGCGACAUAAACAGGAUAUCUUGACAUGAUGAGAUAAGAAAAUGUACUGGUCCUUGUAAAUUUGGACCGCAUGUCGGCCAAAAAAUCGUUUUGACUGAUAUAUUAAGCUCAACUUUUUUUGUACCCGCAAAUUUAAAACGCUCAAAUAUUUGUUAUAACGCCAUCAAAACAGUGAUCAUUAUUCAAAAUUUAACUUAUAUGUGAUAUUUCCACUCGACUCAAUUAAAAUAGAAAUAAGCCAAGCUAAAAAAACAAAUGGUGACAUCAGAAGAAGGAAAAUCAAAAUGAUGAAUAAAGGGUGGUCAUGAUCCUAUGAGUCCCAUUAAUAUUUAUAUAUAUACACAGUGGUCAUGCACUCUUGAUAUUUGUUGCUUCUACAGUUUACUAUUUAUUUUUCACAUACAGCAAGAGUAAAAUUUUAAACGUGUCAAAAUAAAUCGUUGAGGUAGCACUCAGCAGAUCUAAUAAGUGGAUUGCCUCGAAUCAUAUUAACCCUGGGUUACUCUCGAGUACUGACAAGUAGAUAACGCCAAAGAAAAUGAUGUAAAAGGCCAAUAAUGGACUGUAAUAAAGGUGUGGUUCAGUACUCAUCGUGAAGGCGUAUCUAAUAUCUUCUUUCCCCAGCUACACGACUAAUUUACUCAAGUGCACCGUAUUUUUCUUGUACACGUAAACUAUUUAUAAGUCUACAUAGUUGUACAAUUGUAUAGUAUUUUAUACACUGUGCGUAGGUAAAUACGUAUGGCUCGUGUGGUGGUCCCCGCAGAAACCAAAGGUAGAGCCGUGUGGAGGGACCUCCCCCAAGUAAAACGAUAACCACACGGUAUCAGAUCCCUUGUCACUUUCUUGAAUUUAGUGGCGCCCUUUAACUCUAAAGGAACCUCCCCUAAAUAGAUACAGAACUAAUAUUCAUUUGUUUUUAAUAAAAAGUUGAUUUAAUCUUUUUGAUUGUGUUUCAAAAAAAAAAAAAAAAUCUUUUUGAUUAUUGACUAGGCUUCGAAACGCGUAAUGACUUCUUCUUCUAGUACAGCCAAACAAGUAUGGUGUCUAUGUAUUUGCUGCGUAUAAGAUCGUAAAGCCCGUCUUUGGGUCAAGUCGAUGGAACCUAUACUUUAAGUGAAUAUUUUCUUUAAACUUUUCUUGACAGAAUUUCAGAUUUGAAGAUUCAAAUUAUCAUGUUUAUAAUAUUUCCAUUUUAACGAAGCGGCCAUUCUUUCUUUAGCCUUUGAAAUUUCGGAACCAAUACAAACCAUGACCCAUGAUGUCAUUAUACUUUUACCAAAAAAAUGAUGUCAUUAUACUGAAAAAUAGCUAAAGCUUUUAAUAGUGAUAUUAAACUUAGUUGUUGGCUGCUGAUCCAUAAGAAAUUGUUGGCAUAUGAUUUGCUUAAAGAAAAACCAGUGAAUAAUAUACGAAUUCGUUCAUUUUAAUUCAUCUGUACUUAACACUAUUAUAUAGAAAGGUAAGGGUGGACGAGACUGAUGCUGGUUAAAUAACAUAAUGAUAUAUAAUUUUUUUGCAAUUUUUUAAAUAGAAGUUUUAGUUUUUAUCCAUUUCUUAUACUUUUUUUUCGUCAACACAAUUCUAUUGAUUUAUACAAGGAGUUCAUGAUCUUUUUAUUUUUGAACAGAGGAGGAGUUCAUGAUCUAAACUCUGGUUUUUGACUAUAUACAAGUUGAAUGAAUGUAUGUAUCAAAAUCAGAUAAGCUACAUCCACUUUUUAAAACAACUAGUUGAUGUAAUUUAUAGCCACCUUUUAAUACUAGUUUUUGAGCUAGCUGUAUUUUAUACUAAGUUCCUUGCAUUUGAAUUUAGAAUGGGCUUUUGCAUUAAAACUAUACUCGAUUUGUAUUCAUAAACUUCAAAAAAAGUUUUAAUAGCUAUGACUUUUGAGUCUACGACAGCUCGAACAUAGAAAAUUAAAAAACUAUGAAAUGUACCUAUCCAAUUUAAUUUAUUUUUCAAGAUUCAUAUAUGUAUAUAUUUACAUAUUUAAUUGUAUUACAUUGUCUAUACUCAUUAAAACUUUACGCAAAUGCGCAUGGACGAGCAUGUCUCUCCGCAUGGCGUAAGAUUUAAGUUUAAAACUUCUAUAAAAUAACAGACUAAUAACAAAAUUAUCGGCUAAGCAUCACUUAAAUUUAAUACACGUUAUGGAGACUACCACGUCACAUUUGAGCACCUUCCAGGCUGUCAAAGACUCCUAUCACCCAUUCAAAUCAUUCCACGUGGCACUUUCGGACAGUGACACCUAUGCUACAACAGCUGUCUCACUCGUCUACAUUGGUAUAAAUACCUCUUGUAUCACACUUCAUUCUAUAAACCUCAAACAAAACCUCUGUUCUAACUCUUACAAUAACCAACUUCUCAAAUGGCUUAUAAUUACCGUUUUGCCUUUUUCCUCACCGUCCUCACCGCCCUCGCCGGGAUCUCCUCCGCCGCGUUGGUCAAGGAGCAGCCGCUUGUUCUGAAAUACCACAACGGCGCACUCUUGAAAGGAAACAUCAACGUCAAUCUCGUUUGGUAUGGGAAGUUCACACCCACCCAACGGUCAGUGAUCGUCGACUUCAUCCGCUCGCUCAACUCCAAAGAAGCCACAACCUCCGCCGCUCCCUCCGUCGCGUCGUGGUGGAAGACGACGGAGAAAUACAAAGGCGGAGCUUCGACUCUCGUCGUCGGGAAACAGCUCCUCCUCGAGAACUACCCCCUCGGAAAAUCUCUCAAGAAUCCCAACCUCCGUGCUUUAUCCACCAAACUUAACGGCGGUCUCCGUUCUAUAACCGUCGUUUUAACGGCGAAAGACGUUUCCGUCGAGGGCUUCUGUAUGAACCGGUGCGGGUCCCACGGAUCGUCCGUCUCGACUUCGCGCCGCGCGGCUAACGGCGAGGCUUACGUCUGGGUCGGAAACGCCGAGACGAUGUGCCCGGGGUACUGCGCGUGGCCAUUUCACCAGCCCAUUUACGGCCCACAAGGGCCGCCGUUAGUUUCCCCUAACGGUGACGUUGGAGUCGACGGGAUGAUUAUAAACCUGGCUACGCUGCUAGCUAACACCGUCACGAAUCCGUUUAAGAACGGGUAUUACCAGGGCCCACCAACUGCUCCACUUGAAGCUGUCUCCGCUUGUACCGGCAUGUUCGGGUCUGGUUCUUACCCGGGUUACGCGGGUCUAGUGCUGGUUGACAAAACUACCGGGUCUAGCUACAACGCUCGUGGACUCGCCGGGAGGAAAUAUCUCUUGCCGGCGAUGUGGGAUCCACAGACCUCGACUUGCAAGACUCUGGUUUGAUCCAAGGGAUGUGAGUAUGACACGUGUCAUGUUCUGGAAGGAAUGAGGAGAUCUAGAUGACAUCUAUAGUCAAAACAAGUUGUAACUCGCGCUUGUAUAAUAUAUAUGCUUUCGGGUUUGGACUGUGGAUAAGAGUCUUUGCUUUUGUCGUUUUGUUAUGACGUGUAAAUUAUGUUUCUUGAAUGUGAAGAUAUAUGAAUAGUAUAAAAUAAAAUGAUUGUGUUUCUGUUGACAAAAAAAAUGAUUUUGUUUCUACUGCUUUUUAUAAAAGUUAAUGCACUUAUUAAAGAUAAUGAACUAUAAUGAUUGAGGCUUAUAAUACAAAUUUUAUACAUUUAAAGGAAUCUAGCUUUUAUAUUAGUGGGUAGUAUAAGAUAAUCAUAGUUUUAUUGUUUAUAUUAAAUUCGAUGAUAAAAGUAGAUAACACUACAAAGAAAGAUGAGUAUAAAAUAUAAGUUGCUCUCGGUGAUGUUGGGGCCAAAGAGACCAAAUCGAUUGCUUAAUAAAAUACUCGUUUCUUCCUACUUUUUUUUUCAUGUCAGCCAUAGUGUGCUUAAAAUACUUCCUCGUAAUUGUGUUCCCUCAUUAUUUGUAUGACUAUGAUUAAAACUAAGUUAACAAAGAUAAGGUCUGUAAUAACACCAGAAUUCAUUGUGUCAGAGGUUCUGUGGAACAAAAUUAUUUAUAUUAUAUGAUGUAGUUUAGGAUACGGAGAAAUUGAGAAGCUUUUAAAAAUGAUAUAAGAACAUAAUUAUAUAUGUUAUAAAGGAAAAAGAAAUUAUCAUCUCGACUUCGCGCCGCGCGGCUAACGGCGAGGCUUACGUCUGGGUCGGAAACGCCGAGACGAUGUGCCCGGGGUACUGCGCGUGGCCAUUUCACCAGCCCAUUUACGGCCCACAAGGGCCGCCGUUAGUUUCCCCUAACGGUGACGUUGGAGUCGACGGGAUGAUUAUAAACCUGGCUACGCUGCUAGCUAACACCGUCACGAAUCCGUUUAAGAACGGGUAUUACCAGGGCCCACCAACUGCUCCACUUGAAGCUGUCUCCGCUUGUACCGGCAUGUUCGGGUCUGGUUCUUACCCGGGUUACGCGGGUCUAGUGCUGGUUGACAAAACUACCGGGUCUAGCUACAACGCUCGUGGACUCGCCGGGAGGAAAUAUCUCUUGCCGGCGAUGUGGGAUCCACAGACCUCGACUUGCAAGACUCUGGUUUGAUCCAAGGGAUGUGAGUAUGACACGUGUCAUGUUCUGGAAGGAAUGAGGAGAUCUAGAUGACAUCUAUAGUCAAAACAAGUUGUAACUCGCGCUUGUAUAAUAUAUAUGCUUUCGGGUUUGGAC
rnacentral:lncRNA from 1 species